rnacentral:rRNA from 1 species
UACGUAGGGUGCAAGCGUUGUCCGGAAUUAUUGGGCGUAAAGAGCUCGUAGGCGGCUUGUCGCGUCGGCUGUGAAAACCCGGGGCUCAACUCCGGGCCUGCAGCCGAUACGGGCAGACUAGAGUUCGGCAGGGGAGACUGGAAUUCCUGGUGUAGCGGUGAAAUGCGCAGAUAUCAGGAGGAACACCGGUGGCGAAGGCGGGUCUCUGGGCCGAUACUGACGCUGAGGAGCGAAAGCGUGGGGAGCGAACAGG